GAUGAACGCUGGCGGCGUGCCUAAUACAUGCAAGUCGAGCGAACGGACGAGAAGCUUGCUUCUCUGACGUUAGCGGCGGACGGGUGAGUAACACGUGGAUAACCUACCUAUAAGACUGGGAUAACUUCGGGAAACCGGAGCUAAUACCGGAUAAUAUUUUGAACCGCAUGGUUCAAUAGUGAAAGAUGGCUUUGCUGUCACUUAUAGAUGGAUCCGCGCUGCAUUAGCUAGUUGGUAAGGUAACGGCUUACCAAGGCAACGAUGCAUAGCCGACCUGAGAGGGUGAUCGGCCACACUGGAACUGAGACACGGUCCAGACUCCUACGGGAGGCAGCAGUAGGGAAUCUUCCGCAAUGGGCGAAAGCCUGACGGAGCAACGCCGCGUGAGUGAUGAAGGUCUUCGGAUCGUAAAACUCUGUUAUUAGGGAAGAACAUAUGUGUAAGUAACUGUGCACGUCUUGACGGUACCUAAUCAGAAAGCCACGGCUAACUACGUG
rnacentral:rRNA from 1 species